GCCGCCUUAGCUCAGUUGGUUAGAGCGCCAGAUUGUGGCUCUGGAGGUCCUCGGUUCGAGCCCGAGAGGUGGUACCA
rnacentral:tRNA from 2 species